rnacentral:rRNA from 1 species
UUGACCUCAAAUCAGGUAGGACUACCCGCUGAACUUAAGCAUAUCAAUAAGCGGAGGAAAAGAAACUAACAAGGAUUCCCCUAGUAACUGCGAGUGAAGCGGGAAAAGCUCAAAUUUAAAAUCUGGCGGUCUCCGGCCGUCCGAGUUGUAAUCUAGAGAAGUGUUAUCCGCGCUGGACCGUGUACAAGUCUCCUGGAAUGGAGCGUCAUAGAGGGUGAGAAUCCCGUCUUUGACACGGACUGCCAGGGCUUUGUGAUGCGCUCUCAAAGAGUCGAGUUGUUUGGGAAUGCAGCUCAAAAUGGGUGGUAAAUUCCAUCUAAAGCUAAAUAUUGGCGAGAGACCGAUAGCGAACAAGUACCGUGAGGGAAAGAUGAAAAGAACUUUGGAAAGAGAGUUAAACAGUACGUGAAAUUGCUGAAAGGGAAACGCUUGAAGUCAGUCGCGUUGGCCGGGGAUCAACCUUGCUUUUGCUGGGCGUACUUUCCGGUUGACGGGUCAGCAUCAAUUUUGACCGUUGGAUAAAGUCCAGGGGAAUGUGGCAUCUUCGGAUGUGUUAUAGCCCUUGGUCGCAUACAACGGUUGGGAUUGAGGAACUCAGCACGCCGCAAGGCCGGGUAGCUUGUAC